GAUGAACGCUAGCGAUAGGCCUAACACAUGCAAGUCGAGGGGCAGCAUAGAGUAGCAAUACUUUGAUGGCGACCGGCGCACGGGUGAGUAACACGUAUGCAACCUACCUACAUCAGGGGAAUAACCCGGAGAAAUUCGGACUAAUACCGCAUAAUACAGGGAUGCCGCAUGGCACUAUUUGUUAAAGAUUUAUCUGAUGUAGAUGGGCAUGCGUUCAAUUAGUUAGUUGGAUAGGUAACGGCUUACCAAGGCAACGAUGGAUAGGGGACCUGCGAGGUUUGCCCCCACCACUGGAACCGAGACACGGACCCGAAUACGACGGGAGGCAGCAGGGAGGAAUAUUGGUCAAUAGACGAGAGUCUGAACCAGCCAAAUCGCGUGAAGGAAGACUGACGUACGGGUUGUAAACUUCUUUUGUACAGGAAUAAAAGACAUUACGUGUAAUGUAUUGCAUGUACUGUACGAAUAAGCAUCGGCUAACUCCGUGCCAGCAGCCGCCGUAA
rnacentral:rRNA from 1 species